GACGAACGCUGGCGGCGUGCUUAACACAUGCAAGUCGAACGGAAAGGCCCUGCUUUUGUGGGGUGCUCGAGUGGCGAACGGGUGAGUAACACGUGAGUAACCUGCCCUUGACUUUGGGAUAACUUCAGGAAACUGGGGCUAAUACCGGAUAGGAGCUCCUGCUGCAUGGUGGGGGUUGGAAGGUUUCGGCGGUUGGGGAUGGACUCGCGGCUUAUCAGCUUGUUGGUGGGGUAGUGGCUUACCAAGGCUUUGACGGGUAGCCGGCCUGAGAGGGUGACCGGCCACAUUGGGACUGAGAUACGGCCCAGACUCCUACGGGAGGCAGCGGUGGGGAAUAUUGCACAAUGGGCGGAAGCCUGAUGCAGCAACGCCGCGUGCGGGAUGACGGCCUUCGGGUUGUAAACCGCUUUCGCCUGUGACGAAGCGUGAGUGACGGUAAUGGGUAAAGAAGCACCGGCUAACUACGUG
rnacentral:rRNA from 1 species